rnacentral:misc_RNA from 1 species
GCUUUGCCGAUGUAAUGUGCCUUUUAUUUCUUCUCUUGGAGGUAGGAUUGAGAAAGAACCAAACAAACUGGACAUUCGUUCCAAUGUGGCCUCUGAUAUGGAUCUCUUGAAAGAAGAUUCUUUUUUAGCGAAUCCAUAUUUGCUCUGUAACUUUGAAAAAUCAGUAACAUCCAAUAACAGCAACUUGGACUCAAAGUAAUGAGCUAAAGCCUUGG